GUCUAUGGCCAUGCCACCCUGAAAAAGCCCGAUCUCGUCUGAUCUCGGAAGCUAAGCAGGGUCGGGCCUAGUUAGUACUCGGAUGGAAUACUACCUAGGAAGACCAGGUGCUGUAGGUG
rnacentral:rRNA from 1 species